rnacentral:ncRNA from 3 species
AGCUGCGAAAAGCUUCGGGGAGGAGCAAAUAUCCUUUGAUCCGGAGAUAUACUGGAAUGGGAACCCAACUGAGCAAACCUCAGUUGUCGUAUGGUGAAUACAUAGCCAUACGUCGGGAACCCGGGGAACUGAAACAUCUAAGUACCCGGAGGAAAAGAAAGAAAACUCGAUUUCCAAAGUAGCGGCGAGCGAAAUGGAAGGAGCCUAAACCAGUAUGCGUGCAUACUGGGGUUAUGGACUGCAAUAAGUGAGACGAUUUGUUACCAGAACGGUCCUGGAAAGACCGGCCAUAGAAAGUGAAAGCCUUGUAUGGGAAAACAAUAGUCAGCGAGCAGGAUCCAAAGUACCACGAGACACGAGAAACCUUGUGGGAAUUCGGGGGGACCACCCCCCAAGGCUAAAUACUACUUAGUGACCGAUAGCGCAUAGUACUGUGAAGGAAAGGUGAAAAGGACCCCGGGAGGGGAGUGAAAAAGAACCUGAAACCCUGUGUUUACAAGCUGUGGAACCACGUUUAAGGUGGAACCGCGUACUUUUUGUAGAACGGUCCGGCGAGUUACCGUUACUGGCAAGGUUAAGACUAAGGUGUGGAGCGAAGGGAAACCAAGUCUUAAUAGGGCGAAUGAGUCAGUAAGGUAAGACC